rnacentral:rRNA from 1 species
AGUGAACGCUGGCGGUAGGCCUAACACAUGCAAGUCGAACGGCAGCACAGGAGAGCUUGCUCUCUGGGUGGCGAGUGGCGGACGGGUGAGGAAUACAUCGGAAUCUACUCUGUCGUGGGGGAUAACGUAGGGAAACUUACGCUAAUACCGCAUACGACCUACGGGUGAAAGCAGGGGACCUUCGGGCCUUGCGCGAUUGAAUGAGCCGAUGUCGGAUUAGCUAGUUGGCGGGGUAAAGGCCCACCAAGGCGACGAUCCGCAGCUGGUCUGAGAGGAUGAGCAGCAGACCUGGAACACAGACACGGUGCAGACUCCUACGGGAGGCAGCAGGGGGGAAUAUUGGACGAUGGGCGCAAGCCUGAUCCAGCCAUACCGCGUGGGUGAAGAAGGCCUUCGGGUUGUAAAGCCCUUUUGUUGGGAAAGGAAUCCAGCUGGCUAAUACCCGGUUGGGAUGACGGUACCCAAAGAAUAAGCACCGGCUAACUUCGUGCCAGCCGCCGCAGUAA